rnacentral:rRNA from 1 species
UACGUAGGCAGCAAGCGUUGUUCGGAGUUACUGGGCGUAAAGGGUGCGUAGGCGGCCCUGUAAGUCUGGUGUGAAAUCUCCCGGCUUAACUGGGAGGGUGCAGCGGAAACUAGAAUGCUAGAGGGUGGGAGAGGUAAGCGGAAUUCCUGGUGUAGCGGUGAAAUGCGUAGAUAUCAGGAGGAACACCUGUGGUGUAGACAGCUUACUGGACCACUUCUGACGCUGAGACACGAAAGCGUGGGUAGCAAACAGG